rnacentral:rRNA from 1 species
GAGUUUGAUUAUGGCUCAGGACGAACGCUGGCGGCGUGCCUAAUACAUGCAAGUCGAACGAACGGAAGUUAGAACUUGUUCUGAUGGAAGUGAGUGGCGAACGGGUGAGUAACACGUGGGUAACCUACCUUUAAGCGGGGGAUAACAGUCGGAAACGACUGCUAAUACCGCAUAGGACAUAGCGUCACAUGACGCAGUGAGGAAAGACGGUUUCGGCUGUCACUUAGAGAUGGACCCGCGGUGCAUUAGCUAGUUGGUAAGGUAACGGCUUACCAAGGCGAUGAUGCAUAGCCGACCUGAGAGGGUGAUCGGCCACAUUGGGACUGAGACACGGCCCAAACUCCUACGGGAGGCAGCAGUAGGGAAUCUUCCGCAAUGGACGAAAGUCUGACGGAGCAACGCCGCGUGAGUGAAGAAGGUCUUCGGAUCGUAAAGCUCUGUUGUUAGAGAAGAAGAGUUAUGGGAGUAACUGCCCAUAAUG